GCAGCCGCGGUAAUACGUAGGGGGCAAGCGUUAUCCGGAUUUACUGGGUGUAAAGGGAGCGCAGACGGAACUGCAAGUCUGAUGUGAAAGCCCGGGGCUCAACCGCGGGACUGCAUUGGAAACUGUAGAUCUGGAGUGCCGGAGGGGCAAGCGGAAUUCCUGGUGUAGCGGUGAAAUGCGUAGAUAUCAGGAGGAACACCGGCGGCGAAGGCGGCUUGCUGGACGGCAACUGACGUUGAGGCUCGAAAGCGUGGGGAGCAAACAGGAUUAGAUACCCC
rnacentral:rRNA from 1 species